CAGACAAAGAACUUGAUUGCCUGGAAAGAGAAAUAGGGGGCAAAAAAUUGCGCAUCAACCCAAUUAAAAGCAUUCAGACUCAAUAAGAGUGAGCUUUCAAAGAGCUAUUACUACUUGUAGAGAGAGAGAGAGAGAGAGAGAGAGAGAGAGAGAGAGAGAGAGAGAGAGAGAGAGAGAGAGAGAGAGAAGGUGCCUCUUCUUGCAGAUCACACUACCACUAACUGAGCACAGCGGAAUUCCAGCAGAAUUGAGUGUCAAACACACAAAUGUUGGGCCAACCAAAGAGAUUACAACAAAAAAAUUAUAUCUCCUGUCCUUUGGUCAGGUUUGAACUUCAGAAGUACAGUUCCAACUACAUGACAAACUACUUAAAAUUCCUAUCUUCUCUACUGAUUCACAGUUGUUGAAAUUCACAAGAAUCAAAAUUCUGAUGUUUCAGCCAGCAUAGCUGGAAAAACUGCUAGUCUUUUGUUCAUAAUCUAUGUCCGAAGCCAUUUUGCAUGAUACCUUGGUAUCUUUUUAGUAGAAUUCUUUUUUUUUUUUUGGUAAAAAUUUUUAGUAGAAUUCUAUUAAUCCUAAAAGAAUGACAAUAAAUGUAUGGACAAAGGAAUAGUCGUACAUUAACUGGAUGAUCAAAUGUCAUAUAGGUAUUAUAAUUCAGUCGGAGAUAUUUGUUUGCUAUCCUCCUGUACACGUCUGCACAUAUCUUACUCAAAGAAUAUCGGCGUUCAACUACAGUACUAAGGCAAUGACCACGCUAACAUUAGAUAUAAACCAUAUCCAACACGAAAAUAACAAUUGGUCAGCACAAUUUUUGAUGUAUCCAUGAUACAAGAAAGUGAAGAAUGCUGAGGGGAACUCGAGAAAUGCACAUACACAAAGGGUCAUUCUGUCACGGGUGAUUCGUGCAUCAAAGAUGUAACAGUCUACCUAUGAUAUGCGUUCUGCCCGUAACAAAACUCGAUUCUCCUGGGGCUGUCGAGAGCGAGGAUAUAACCACGGAAGCUCGCGAUGGUAAUAAUCUGUAGAAGAAAUCAAGAACAAAAAGGGCUCACACAUUUGAAUAACAAUCUAGACACAUGAAACUCCAGGUGUACACAACUCUUGAUGAACUUCCCAUUUUUCUUUUU
rnacentral:lncRNA from 1 species